GAUGAACGCUGGCGGCGUGCUUAACACAUGCAAGUCGAACGGGAAACCUUUUAUUGAAGCUUCGGCAGAUUUCGCUGGUUUCUAGUGGCGGACGGGUGAGUAACGCGUGGGUAACCUGCCUUAUACAGGGGGAUAACAACCAGAAAUGGUUGCUAAUACCGCAUAAGCGCACAGGACCGCAUGGUCCGGUGUGAAAAACUCCGGUGGUAUAAGAUGGACCCGCGUUGGAUUAGCUAGUUGGCAGGGUAACGGCCUACCAAGGCGACGAUCCAUAGCCGGCAUGAGAGGGUGAACGGCCACAUUGGGACUGAGACACGGCCCAGACUCCUACGGGAGGCAGCAGUGGGGAAUAUUGCACAAUGGGGGAAACCCUGAUGCAGCGACGCCGCGUGAAGGAAGAAGUAUCUCGGUAUGUAAACUUCUAUCAGCAGGGAAGAUAGUGACGGUACCUGACGAAGAAGCCCCGGCUAACUACGUG
rnacentral:rRNA from 1 species